GGCGAGGGGGCUAUGUUCUCCUUACAAGCGAUAGAUCGGGGGUUCAAAUCCCUCACCGCCCACCA
rnacentral:tRNA from 1 species